AAUUGCUUCUUUUUUUUUUUGUAUUUUUUAUCUGGAAAUAUUGAAGGAAGUGAGAAAAUUGAGAAGUCUAUGCAAUUAAGCUUAUUACAUAUAGUUGUGUAAGUUGAAAGUUGAAGUUUUAUUGCUUUGAUAGAUUAAUUGGAUUUAUAGUUACUUAAAUACGUUUUUUUUUCUUUAGUUUGUUAUUGAUAGCUUAAUGGGUUCAUGUUAAAAUGAAAACGAGCUUCUGUUAAAAUGUGAAAUCCUCCGUCUCUCUCUCUCUGU
rnacentral:misc_RNA from 1 species